CAGGGUACUCGAGUGGCGAACGGGUGAGUAACACGUGGGUGAUCUGCCCUGCACUUCGGGAUAAGCUUGGGAAACUGGGUCUAAUACCGGAUAGGAGCCAUCUUUAGUGUGGUGGUUGGAAAGUUUUUUCGGUGUAGGAUGAGCUCGCGGCCUAUCAGCUUGUUGGUGGGGUAAUGGCCUACCAAGGCGGCGACGGGUAGCCGGCCUGAGGGGGUGUACGGCCACAUUGGGACUGAGAUACGGCCCAG
rnacentral:rRNA from 1 species